CCCACCCCCACCCCCACCUCGGUUGGGUUGGACAGGGCUGGGUGAGCGGGUGGCUGCCCGCCGCACCUACUCAUGCCCACUCACCUGUUAUUACAAUCUCCUGUGAUGGUUCGGUAAGGACUGUCCUUGUCACAUUGCACCACAGCAACAGGGGCACCACAGCCCACCUCCCAAGACAGUGCAGUCAAGUCCAGGUUGGGGUCUGAAACAGAAGGGACGCCAAAGGGGUUGAGUUCUUUCUCCAUUCUGGGGCACUGGCGGGAGGCAGGAAACGGAAACCAGAGGUGAACUUAAAUUUCUUGGAAUACAUGUCUCUGUUCUAGUUUAGCCAAUUCUCAGGUGACGUCUUGUUCGAUCCUGACGACUCAUUAAGGUCUGCGAUUCUGAGAAGGGAGAGCUGAGAGUGCCCAUCCCAGGAGGUGCUCCUAAUAGGGAAUGCAGUUUUUGGAGGCCUCCAUUCUCUCCUGCAGGGAGAUGGCCCUUUCCUGCUGUCAGAGGGUCAGUGGGUUUUCUGUACCUGUGGCAUUGGUCAAGGCCACAAUCUGCCUUAGCCUCUUUAAGGACUCCUCCCACACCUGCCCGUUGCGGAUGGCUGUACGUGCCCGGCCUUUGGCAUGUUUGAGGUACUCCGAGAGCUGUCGAGUGGUGGGCCCUUUGGAGCUCAUGGCAGUCUUCAGCCUGCAGUGGAGAGCAAUGGGAGAGUCAGGACCAAGCCCUCCAGCUCCAACCCUGUGGAAGAGGUGUGAAGUGACAGGUGUCUGGGGAGGAGCCGCAGGUGUGUGUGUGGGGGGGGGGGCGGGGGGCAGCACGCAGGAGACAAGCACGCCCUGUGCUCUUUUCUCACUCUUCCCCCUAAUGCCUCUGGAAAAUCUCUUCUGGGAGGAGGAAACAUCUUUAUGUGUCUGGUUCUCAGAAAGGGCAGGCAGAUGAAGGUGAGCACUUCCUGAAUUAGAAUCAGAGGCUUGGGGCUCCUGGAUGGCUCAGCAGUUGAGCGUCUGCCUUUGGCUCAGGACGUGAUCCAGGGGUCCUGGGAUUAAGUUCUGCAUCACACUCCCCACAGGGAGCCUGCUUUUCCCCCUGCCUAUGUCUCUGCCUCUUUUGGUUUGUCUCUCAUGAAUAAAUAAAUAAAGUCUUAAAAAAAAUUGGAGGCUUGUAGCUGUGCUGGCCAGGUCAGAGUCAACUGGGGAAACUUAAAAACACCCAAGCCCUGGAUAUACUGAUACAGACUAAGGAACUUCUAGAAAUAACAGGCAUAGUGGGCCUGUAGUUCUUCCAUUGGAAACAUCCUUAAUUUCAUCUGGCCCUAGAAUUAGCGUGAAGUUUGCUUAGAUGUGGGCUGUAGCAUCAUGCCUCUUGCUGGCCAUUUUUGGGGCAAGAUGUUCAGCCUUUUUACUCUUAAUUUCCAAUGUGUAAAAUGAGAAGCCCAAAUCCCUGCUCCUAAGAAGUUUGUGACAACACAGAGUGCUUAUUGCAAGUUGGUAUCAGAAAAGUCCCCCCAUGAGAAUCCCCCACCCCAUCCCUGUGCCUCAGUCUCCUUGGGUGGAAGAAGAAGGGUUCUGUGAGAUUAUGUCUAUGGCUCUAGACUCUGAAAUGUUGGAAGUGGCUCAAAUUCUCACAAAAUACAGCUCUAUUUUGAGGGUACCAUUCACUGGCUGCAAUACCUGGCCUGUCACUAUGGAUCAGGUUCUUAGCUGUUCCAAGAGUGAGAUGCAUGAUGUCUCAGCUAAGGGACUUCCUGGGCAAACGGGACAGGCAUAAGGACGACUGUGAUGAUUGUGCUCCAAUCAGCAGGCCUACCCCCAAUCAGCCUCCCCCAACCACAAUAAAAAAGAACCCAAGAAAAGAAACCAGACUGUCUUUUGGCUGCUGUUGCAAGAGACAGUAUGGCCCAGUGGCCCAGAGCACUGUGCUGUCCAAUAUGAUGACCGCUAACCAAGCAUGGCUAUUUAAAUGGAACUUCAUUAAAAUGAAAUUAAAUUUAGUUCCUUAUUGGAACGAGCCACAUUUUAAGUGCUCAGUAACCAUAGUUAGUGGUUCCUGUAUCGGAUGGCACAGAUAUAGAAAAUUUCAGCAUCACACAAAGUUCUAUCAGCUAGCAGUGGCCUAGAGUUUGAGCUUAGUAAGCAAGACCGUACCCUGGCUGUUUUGACUCCUGCCACUUACUAGUUGUGUGCCUCUGCGCAAGUUACUCAACUUCUCUGUACCCAGUUUCCCUAUCCAUAAAAUGAGGAUAAGGACAGUAACCUUAGGUUGAACCAGGCUAUUUGAUCAUUUCCCCUCAACAACAAGCUAUUUCAUGUAGUUGGAGUCAGCACUUCAUAGGAUUUGGGGGAGGAAGAAAUGUAAAGCAGCUAGAGCUGCAUCUGGCAUAGAAUAAGCACUCAGGGUGUGUUAGCAUCAGCACCACCAUCCUCAUGAGCCAGCACCCAAAGGGUUCCCCACCCCAUAAACAAGGUGAGUUGUUGGGCCUUGUAGGGCUCCAUCUGGAAGGUCCCAUGCAAGGUUUCUCAUGCUGCCUUCUGUCCUUCUCUGCCCUGAGCUCUGUGUGGCUCUCCUCCCGGAAUGCUGAUUCCCUGGAGACUUACCUCCUACUUUGCUCAGGGCUCGGCUCCAUGGGGGCAGUCAGGGUUUGGGAAGAGGUCUUUAUCCAUCUCCCUACCUACACCCUCACCCUAGCCACCAUCACCUCUCAUUUAGACAGCUGCCACAGCCUCCUGACUGGGCCCUUGCCCUUAUUCCCAUUCCUUUCCCCAUCUCCUGACCAUGCCCCACACAGCUGCUGCGGUGAACUUUUUAGGAGAGGCAAACCAUGCCACUCUGAUUAAAACACUUCAUCGACUCACCCUGGGACCUGGAUGAAUCCAUCAGUUUACUGCACACAUGCUCCUAUGUGCCUUCACUGACUCUGUCUAGUUCCAAAACAUUUUCAUCACCCCCAAAGGAGACCGCAUACCCAUUAAGUAGUCAUUUCCAAUUUCUCCCCUGCCUCCCACCUCCCCACACCCAUCAACCACUAAUCUGCUUUCUGACUCUAUGGCCCUCAGGAUCCACCUCUCUCUUUCACCUCUAUGUGCUGCCCCUCACCUACCACUUCCACCAGCAUUGGCCUUCUUUCUGUUUCCCGAGCCCCCUAAGCUCUUUCCUGCCUUUGCACCUUUGCCUUUGCCCCUCCCAGACCCUGGGAUGCUAUCCCCCUGGCUCUCCACAUGGCUAGCUGCUUCUCAUCCUCCACCAGGCUUCCUUGAUCCCUGACCUAGAGUUAACUGUUUGCUCUGUUUAUUCUCUUCACUAUCCUGUUCACAAAUCAUGACUCUUUGGAUUGUUUGUGUCAUGUAAUGAGAUGUUAAUGUGUGAUUCUUUAUGUCUUUGUGAGGCCCCUAAGUCCAAGAACUAACCAGUGGGGAUGAAUUCCAAAGUGGGGCUGGUCAUCCUGUACACAACCUGCAAAGGAGGUGAUGAACACUAAUUUUGUGGCUUUUACUGUAUCCCCACCUUGAGGCUAGAAAAGGAUUGAAGUUAAGGAGGGAAAGAGAUUUUUCAUUUGGAGAUGGUUCCUGAAAUGCCAGGCACUUCACUACUGCCACCAUGGGGCUUCUUCUGUGCUUUAAUUCUGUGACAAGGAUCUCAAAAGGAGGGCUUGAUUGUGUGUCCUAGAGUCCUGGCCAGUGGUUGAUAUCUGCCCAAAGAGCCUAAAGAAGUGCUGUCUGGCACUAUGCACCUGAUAGAAUUUGCCAGACAGGGCAGCCCUGGGCAAAAUCCACAUAUCCUCUGGCAGCAGGGCCAAGCUUUUAGUCUUCUGAAGCCUGCUUAAAAGAGACCUGGCUCAAGAGGGUAUAGGGAGGUGAGAGAGUAAGCCAGAUACUUCUAGGCUAAGGGUUGGCAGUGUAAGCUACUGGCCAGAGACUUCUCUGGGUCAGGGAGCUGGCAGCAGAAUCUCUGAGAGAGCUGACAAGUGCCCAAGGUGGGGAAGAGCUUCUGAUUCCCACAAAGCACUAAGUUAUGAGGUGACUUAGACCUUGCUCUCUGGUAUCUCUCCUCCCUUCCCCAGCCUAACCCCUAAAGAAUCAGAAGCCUGUGCUGAGGGAAAGGGAGCAGCCCAGGAAAGAAGGAUGAGCCGACUGUGCUCCCUUUUCUCACUGAAGCCUAACAUAGCUUUGAGCUGAGGGAGGCAAGAAACUCUGGGCUUUGCCUUCUUAUGCUGACAUUUGAAUUCCUGAAAGGACACUGUUCUUGGGACUAGAAGUGACCAGAGCACAUAUUGUCAUCUAAAAGUCAGGAUAAACAGUUUUGGGACUGCUUAAGAGUUCAUUCAAAGGCCAAGGAGGAAGGAAGCCUCCAUUCUAGUGCAAAGGGACAGCAAGAGGAAGGAAUAAGGCUGCCUUCUGCUCAACACAAUGGUUAUUCUUGUUUGUCUGGCUUUAGCUGGAUGGGCUUCCUGAGGGCAGGGAUGCAGUCUGCAUUGCUUAUUUUGGAGAUCCCAACCCCUAUAUGUGAUUGGACGGUGGCUCACUCUGCUGGUGACCCCUGUGGGGGUCACCAAGCACCCUUGGAUCUUUUUAUGGGGUUGGGGUGCUGUGUCCCUAGCUGCCCUGGAUGCAGCUGCUGAGGACUCACACCUGAACCCUACUUGUGUGAUUACUAGCCAAUCCUUGCUUAACUUCCUCCUUCGACCUCUGCAACUCGCCCCCUCACUUCAUUUACAGCUUUCCUGAGAGCACUUCUUAAUAAGUCACCUGCACAUGAAUCUACGUCUCAGUUUCUACUUCUAGGGAAUUGGACCUAAGUCAGUCCAUAUGAGUUGAAUGAAUGGAGAAAUUCUACCUACAAGCUUUUUGAGACUGAAACGCAUGACCCCGGGAAACAUUCGGCCACAUGGAAGAAAGUGCUUAUAGGAUUAGAUCAGACAUCUUCUUCGAGGAGGAGUUCUCAAAUAAUUGGCCCUCAGUGAGAUCCUGUCUUACACUUCUAUGACCCCAAGUAGAACCAUAAUCCUCCUCUUUGUGACUUGAGGAGACCAUUGAGCCAGCAGAAAUCUGCCCUUUCAGGAACACAAAGAUGAUGGCUUUGGAGUAAAAGUUGGGAGAAAACAGCAGCUUGAAUCCGUUUCUCAACUUUAAGGCGGAACUUCAACGCCUAUUUCCCAGAUGGCUGAAGAAACUUUCAGAAACAGCAGGACCCACGUGCCCCCAAUCUUGCAGAGUUGCAUCCGUAGGUGUCUGUGCUGGAUGGAGGACAUCUCUGAGAAGGCGCCGUGCUCCCCUGCUGACUAGCCCACCACUCGUGGGUGGUGCCUGCUGGGUGCCAAGGCCAGUGUGAGGCUAAGAAUGUCUUUCAUAUGGGACGCCUGGGUGGCCCAACAGUUGAGCGUCUGUGUUUGGCAUGAUCUUGGGUUCAGGGAUCAAGUCCCACAUCGGGGUCCCUGUGAUGAGCCUGCUUCUCCCUCUGCCUUUGUCUCUGCCUCUGUCUCUGUGUCUCUCAUGAAUAAAUUAAAAAACCCUUAAAAAAAAAAAAAAGAAUGUCCCUCAUAAAACCCUACCCAGGGCUGUAAGUUGCUAACACAGUCCAACAUCCUGAAUUUUCUCCACCAUCCUCCUGAUGCAACAGCCUGCAUGGUAUAUGGUCCCUCCUCAAGGGUAUAUUGGUUUAACUCCUUGCUGUUCAAAGUGUGGUCCAUGGAUCAGCAACACUGGCAUCAUCUGGGAGUUUGUUAAAACUGUAGACUCUUGGUCCCCCACCCUAGACCUACUGAAUUGGAAUCCUCAUUUGAACAAGAUCCCUAGAUUUUUUAAUUUCCCAUUAAAUUUCAAGAGGCAGAUAAACCAAGUAUAUCACAACCACCCAAAAAGGAUUGCUGACUUUCCAGCCCAUGACCAAGCCCAUCUCUUCAGAUCAGCCAAUUCCAUCAGUUUAAGAUCUGUUCAUUGCAACAGUCAUACUUAUUGCCACCAAAUUCUGCAUUACCUAGCAUGUAUUUGCUGGGUCCAAGUCACCAAAAAUCCAACUCAAGUUAGCCUAAUUAAUAGGGAAAUUUUCAAGUUGGAUGCUAGAUA